UACGGGGGGGGGAAGCGUUGUUCGGAAUUACUGGGCGUAAAGGGCUCGUAGGCGGCCAACUAAGUCAGACGUGAAAUCCCUCGGCUUAACCGGGGAACUGCGUCUGAUACUGGAUGGCUUGAGUUUGGGAGAGGGAUGCGGAAUUCCAGGUGUAGCGGUGAAAUGCGUAGAUAUCUGGAGGAACACCGGUGGCGAAGGCGGUUCUCUGGGACGGUACUGACGCUGAGACGCGAAAGCGUGGGGAGCAAACAGG
rnacentral:rRNA from 1 species